UUUAAUUGCCUUUUCUUUAAGCCUUUUCUCAUUUUUUCUCUCUGUUUAGAUGGUCCUUGUUUCCUGAUGGAUCACAGUGAAUGCAUGUUUCUGUUUGCUAAGGAUGUUUACAAGAAUCCUCAAAGGAUUUAGUGACUGCUGUCUGGGAUGUAAAUAUCUGUGUUGCUGAUAAGGAAACUGAGGCUAGUUGGCUGAGUGCACUGUCCGUGGUUAUACGAUUAAGUAGAAGAGCUGAGAUUCAGAACCACCUGUUUGCCUCUGAAGCACGUGCUCGUCACCACCUGCUGCCAGUCUCCACGCCUGCACGGUACCCGGGAGACGCUCCACAGGAGACGUGGAGGAAUGUUUUGCCACAGUUAUCUGGAAAAUUGCCUCAGGCCACACUCACUCCAGGCUCUGUAGAGCCACCGGGAGCCAGGUCUGCCUGGCAGAGAACACAAAGAACGCGGACAUGUUUUCAGGAGCUCAGGUGGGUAGCUGAUGGACUCGAGAAGCUUCCAACUCGACUGGAGCGAGACAUAGAGAGAAAACUUAAUUACAGUCAGG